UCUAUAUCGGUGAAUGCAAGCUCCGCCGUCAUUGUUCAACAAGAAACGAAUUCAACCAUAGUAAGUCUGGUAGUUCAAAGGAAUUGCAGUGCAGAUCUACUCAACCCGGAGUCAGCGAUGUACAUUGCCCUGGUCGCUCAAAUUGAAUCUGCGGUGCUGUCUAUUCUUCAAAAC